GUGGGGAAUAUUGGGCAAUGGGCGAAAGCCUGACCCAGCAACGCCGCGUGAAGGAAGAAGGCCUUCGGGUUGUAAACUUCUUUUAUGAGGGACGAAGGAAGUGACUGUACCUCAUGAAUAAGCCACGGCUAACUACGUGCCAGCAGCCGCGGUAAUACGUAGGUGGCAAGCGUUGUCCGGAUUUACUGGGUGUAAAGGGCGCGUAGGCGGACGGGAAAGUCAGAUGUGAAAUCCAUGAGCUCAACUCAUGAACUGCAGUUGACACUGUUGGUCUUGAGUAUCGGAGAGGCAAGCGGAAUUCCUAGUGUAGCGGUGAAAUGCGUAGAUAUUAGGAGGAACACCAGUGGCGAAGGCGGCUUGCUGGACGACAACUGACGCUGAGGCGCGAAAGCGUGGGGAGCAAACAGGAUUAGAUACCCCGGUAGUCC
rnacentral:rRNA from 1 species